UACAGAGGUGGCAAGCGUUGUUCGGAAUUACUGGGCGUAAAGGGCGCGUAGGCGGCCAUCUAAGUCAGACGUGAAAUCCCCCGGCUUAACCUGGGAACUGCGUCUGAUACUGGAUGGCUUGAGUUUGGGAGAGGGAUGCGGAAUUCCAGGUGUAGCGGUGAAAUGCGUGAUAUAUCGGAGGAACACCGGUGGCGAAGGCGGCAUCCUGGACCAACACUGACGCUGAGGAGCGAAAGCCAGGGGAGCAAACGGG
rnacentral:rRNA from 1 species